GACGUAGGGGGCGAGCGUUGUCCGGAUUUAUUGGGCGUAAAGCGUGCGUAGGCGGCUGCGCAAGUCGGUUGUGAAACCCCGGGGCUCAACCCCGGAACUGCAUCCGAUACUGCGUGGCUAGAGGUAGGUAGGGGAGAUCGGAAUUCCUGGUGUAGCGGUGAAAUGCGCGGAUAUCAGGAGGAACACCGGUGGCGAAGGCGGAUCUCUGGGCCUUACCUGACGCUCAGGCACGAAAGCGUGGGGAGCAAACAGG
rnacentral:rRNA from 1 species